rnacentral:rRNA from 1 species
GACAGAGGGUGCAAACGUUGCUCGGAAUUACUGGGCGUAAAGCGUGCGCAGGCGGUUUUGUAAGCCAGAUGUGAAAUCCCCGGGCUUAACCUGGGAAUGGCAUUUGGGACUGCAAGGCUGGAGUGCGGCAGAGGGGACUGGAAUUCCUGGUGUAGCAGUGAAAUGCGUAGAGAUCAGGAGGAAUACCGAUGGCGAAGGCAGGUCCCUGGGUUGACACUGACGCUCAUGCACGAAAGCGUGGGGAGCAAACAGG